rnacentral:rRNA from 1 species
GAAUCCCGUCUUUGACACGGACUGCCUGUACAUUAUGGUGUGCUCUCGAAGAGUCGAGUUGUUUGGGAAUGCAGCUCAAAAUGGGUGGUAAAUGCCAUCUAAAGCUAAAUAUUGGCGAGAGACCGAUAGCGAACAAGUACCGUGAGGGAAAGAUGAAAAGAACUUUGGAAAGAGAGUUAAACAGUACGUGAAAUUGCUGAAAGGGAAACGCUUGAAGUCAGUCGCGUUGGCUAGAAAUCAACCUUGCUUUUGCUUUGUGUACUUUCUGGUUGACGGGUCAGCAUCAAUUUUGACCACUGGAUAAAGUCUUUGGGAAUGUGGCAUCUUUGGAUGUGUUAUAGCCCAUUGUCGCAUACGGUGGUUGGGAUUGAGGAACUCAGCACGCCGCAAAGCCGGGUUUCGACCACGUUCGUGCUUAGGAUGCUGGCAUAAUGGCUUUAAUCGACCCGUCUUGAAACACGGACCAAGGAGUCUAACAUGCCUGCGAGUGUUUGGGUGGAAAAACCCAUGCGCGCAAUGAAAGUGAAAGUUGAGAUCCUCUUCAAAGGGGGAGCAUUGACGCCCGGACCAGACCUUUUGUGACGGAUCCGCGGUAGAGCAUGCAUGUUGGGACCCGAAAGAUGGUGAACUAUGCCUGAAUAGGGUGAAGCCAGAGGAAACUCUGGUGGAGGCUCGUAGCGAUUCUGACGUGCAAAUCGAUCGUCAAAUUUGGGUAUAGGGGCGAAAGACUAAUCGAACCAUCUAGUAGCUGGUUCCUGCC